AUUGAACGCUGGCGGCAGGCCUAACACAUGCAAGUCGAGCGGAUGAAGGGAGCUUGCUCCUGGAUUCAGCGGCGGACGGGUGAGUAAUGCUUAGGAAUCUGCCUGGUAGUGGGGUAUAACGUCCGGAAACGGGCGCUAAUACCGCAUACGUCCUGAGGGAGAAAGUGGGGGAUCUUCGGACCUCACGCUAUCAGAUGAGCCUAGGUCGGAUUAGCUAGUUGGUGGGGUAAAGGCCUACCAAGGCGACGAUCCGUAACUGGUCUGAGAGGAUGAUCAGUCACACUGGAACUGAGACACGGUCCAGACUCCUACGGGAGGCAGCAGUGGGGAAUAUUGGACAAUGGGCGAAAGCCUGAUCCAGCCAUGCCGCGUGUGUGAAGAAGGUCUUCGGAUUGUAAAGCACUUUAAGUUGGGAGGAAGGGCAGUAAGUUAAUACCUUGCUGUUUUGACGUUACCAACAGAAUAAGCACCGGCUAACUUCGUG
rnacentral:rRNA from 1 species